rnacentral:lncRNA from 1 species
UUUUUUAUGAGUGAGAGAGAUUUUACUCUCCGUCUAUCUAUAUAGAUUUAGACUGAAAUACUAUCAAGAGCACCAAACUAUCGGUGCUAUUAGGUUUUCAACUCUUGGAUGAAGAAACGUACGGUUAGGAUGAUAUGGGCCCUCUAGGGUUGAGUAAGUUGUUGAUUGAAUAGUAUAAUCUAACGAGUGAAAAUAAUCAAUGGGUUAAGUCUAACGGUGGAAAAUUUGGUAGUACUAAGCGCUUAGUGCUAUUGAUAGUAUCAUAGCUGAACUCCUAUAUAUAUAUAUAUAUAUAUAGAGUGGGCUGGUAUGCUUUCGUAAGCACGGAAGCACCCCAGACGCACUCUAUAUAUAUAUAUAUAUAUAUAUAUAUAUAUAUAUAUAAAGAGAGAGAGUGAGAUUACAUUUAUAGGGCAAUAUUACUAAUACACUCAAAAGUGAGGUGUAUAUUUUUUUUUUUUUGAGAGAUAGAUAGCAUGCUACCUUCUUCGUUUAUUUCAUUUAGAAAUAAAUUUAGUUGGAAAUGUAAAUCAACUAGGAUUCGAACUUGAGAUCUCGAGUACCAACCACCAAGUCUUUUGCCACUUGCGCUAGGAACGGUCGGUAUAUCUUAUAUUUUUUUUUUAUUUCAGGAUUAUCAUGUCUCACUUGUUACAUCAAUUUUUCUAUUUUUAACAAAAAAAAAAUAUUU